AGAGGAAGUAAAAGUCGUAACAAGGUUUCCGUAGGUGAACCUGCGGAAGGAUCAUUAUCGUACAACAGAGGCACCUAGGGCUGUCGCUGGCCUUUUAAAGGUUGUGCACGCCCAAAGUGCUUUCUUACAUCCAUCUUACCCCUUUGUGCAUCACCGCGUGGGGCUCCCUAUUCGGGGGUCUUGCGUUUUUACAUCAGACACCAUUUUAAUGCAUGUAUAGAAUGUCUUUGCGAUCACACGCAAUCAAUAUAACUUUCAACAACGGAUCUCUUGGCUCUCGCAUCGAUGAAGAACGCAGCGAAAUGCGAUACGUAAUGUGAAUUGCAGAAUUCAGUGAAUCAUCGAAUCUUUGAACGCACCUUGCGCCCCUUGGUAUUCCGAGGGGCACACCCGUUUGAGUGUCGUGAACACCCUCAAUCUUCUUGGUUUCUCAACCAGGAAGGCUUGGACUUUGGAGGUUUUUCUUGCUGGCUUGUAUUCAAAGUCGGCUUCUCCUAAAUGAAUUAGUGGGACCUGCUUUGCUGAUCCUUUGACGUGAUAAGUAUGCUUCUACGUCUUGGUUUUUGCAAAUGUCACCUGCUUCAAACCGUCUUUUAAACCAAAGACAAUGUUCGAGUUGUGGCUCGACCUCACUGAUCUUGACCUCAAAUCGGGUGAGACUACCCGCUGAACUUAAGCAUAUCAAUAA
rnacentral:rRNA from 1 species